rnacentral:lncRNA from 1 species
CUUUGAUGCAUUGUUGUGAAAUUUUCCUCAUUGGCUUUUUUGUUGUGUUUUAAUCGCAGGAAACGAAUGCUUGCAACCGGAUGUGACUAAAGCGUAGUAGUAACUUUCUUUCUUUCCACUUUUGUGCUGAUUUAUACAAGUUUUUUCCUUUCAUUUUUCUAAAGAGAAGGUUGCUAAGCAGAUAACAAAACAAUGCGAGUGCUAUACCAUAACAAGACCCGUUUUCAGGCAAGAUUUCAAAUCGGAUAGAAAUAACUUGCAACCGUCGUCGCCAUAACGUAGCAAAAACUUUUUCGUAGAACUGAUUUACGGCAGCAACCUUGAAAAGUAGAGCAUAAGUCAAAACAUUAUCCACAAAAGCCACAAAAUCCUUACCUUAUCACUGUCUAAGCUGAUAUUUUGCAUCGAGCCAAGCCGAACCACAACAUUUCUUCCGCGUUCCAAAUUCAGUUCGAAGCUUCCAUUUUCGAGGGAGGCAUCCCAACUUUGAUGACAAGAACAGUGCCAAGUUACGAUAGGAGAACCUGUCGUCACUGGAACUAAAGGAAAGCACGUAGGUGUGGAAGGUCAGUGGCAAUGCCGUGAGUUUGUUCUUGUUCUUCGUGAGUUUCCUCUCGCAGCUCUGAUCGAUCCAUGCCAUGAUUUUGCAGCAAAAGAGCGAUGUUUAGAGCCCCGACGCGUUGGAAGCCAAGCAGCUAUGAAGAGCAUCGGACUUAAAAGACUUUCGUGAAGACGCGUCAAGGAUCUGUUGUUUAUGUGUGAUCCUUCGCUCUGAUGUGGUCCUGCCAGAGUAUGUCCAUGCGUAAUACGACCGCUGCUCAUCAUUCUAGUAUAGCAGUAUUCUUCUCAGUCUAGACUUGACAGACGCCGUGGUUUCCUACAUAAAAGCGCAUUCACUCUUAUAACCUCACCAAGCUCAUAGAAAUGUGGCCACAUAUUAGAAUACCAAAAGAAGGUAGGAG